GAAUCAAGCUUAGACAUGUUUACUAGCAACAGACUCAAUCCUUCUCUGAAAGAACACUUUUGAAGAGAAAGAUACAUGGGAAGAAGAAAGGAGGGAGGGAGAAGGAAAGAAGGAAUGAAAGAAGGAAAGCAGAAAGAAAUAUAAAGGGAAAAAAAACUCCAGAAGAGAGAGAACAUCUAAACGAACAAAGAUCUCCUGAUCCAAUUGUGUACUUCAGGUAAAAGACAAGGCCUUGAAUACACAAGAGGCAAGAAACAAAGUGACCCCUACUAAAGGAAACCCUUGACCAUCAGUAAAAGAAUGGAAUAGAAGCAGUCUUCCCACUGGCAAAGGAGAUUAUACAGAGGAGAGACCAGAAGAGAAGGAGCAGCUCAGCAGACUCAGAAGCUCUCUCCUAAACACAGGAUCACCCUUUAUAAGCAGUGUUUUCUGGACUACCUGGAGCAGGUAGCAUCUAUGCAAGACAGAAGAUUCAUGUGGGGCCUUUUCCAGAGUAUUUCUCCAAAUAGAUUCUGGAUGAGCUGGAGAAACCUGAAGAUCCUCCCUGCUGUCACCAUGGAACUGCAUGGAGAGUCUGGAGUGUGGAGUGGUUGCCUGACCUGUUCUGACCCCUGGCAUUCUGUCCCAUGGUUCAUAAUCAGUAGAUCACAUAUUAAGUUGGAUGUAAUUGAAGCUGUUUCCUACAUUCAGUGGCAUCUUCACUAAUGGAUCUUCUGUGGGAGUGACUGUUACUACUUGAACAAUACGCGGGCCUCUCACUGUUGUGGCCUCUCCCGUUGCGGAGCACAGGCUCCGGACGUGCAGGUUCAGCGGCCAUGGCUCACGGGCCCAGCUGCUCAGCGGCAUGUGGGAUCUUCCCGGACCGGGGCACGAACCUGUGUCCCCUGCAUCGGCAGGCAGACUCUCAACCACUGUGCCACUCGGGAAGCCCUACUUCAGCUGUGAGUGGAAUCCAGGGCUGCUACAUAUACUGCAGAAGUGAGUCAUUGAUUUUCAAUCACAGCACUUUGGUACACGGUGCUACUCAGCACAAAAGUUAAAAGUGCAGCUCAGAAAGCAUUGCAUUUGUGUGGCGAGCAGAGGGAACCAUUUCCCUAAGAGAAGCUCAGUUACUUGGCUAGUCGUUCCUUCCCGGGAAGGAAGCUUCCAGGGAGCGAAGGGAUCAAAUCUGCUUUGCCUAGAGAAGCAUCUAUCUCAGCGCUGGUGGCUGAUAAUUCCGAACUGGCUGUUAAGUGCGGAGCUUCCCAGGCGCCUGGCUGGCUCAGCCCAAUGCAGAAAUCUCCCCUCCUCUCUAAAGACCCGAAUCCCUACAGAACCAGCUUGGAGUUACUUUCUCUUCAAGGAGACUGAAAUAAUUGUGAUUUGUGGUGUUCUCAGUUCGCGGUGGUAUUUUCCUGUUGUGUUAAAUGCCUCUUACUAAAUAAUAGAUGUGAUUUAUGUGGACGACGGAGGGUGUGUGGUGGACCGGGUGAUUAAUCAGUGAAUUCCCCUCCGCUGGCAUCUCUCACUGCCCCUCUUUGCGUGAUGUAAGAUCAGACGUACCCUGCAUUGAAAAGUCAAGACACACGAGCGGCUCGCUCGCGCUCACACACACUCUCUCCCCCCACGCGCGCAUCCGUACACCUUCCACAUCCUGCUCCAGGCGGACUGGCUGGGCUCACUGAGCUGAAGAAUUUCGAGUGACAUUUGUAAAUGACGCUGCUCGCUUCGGGGCUCCGAGCCGCCGCCGCCGCCUGGCCGAGGGUGCAGCCCAGCAGUCUCCGGCGCUGGCUUCCUCCCCGGGCGACCACGAUGUCCGAGUUUCUCCUCGCCUUACUCACUCUCUCGGGAUUAUUGCCUGUCGCCAAGGUGCUGAGCGUGGAAGCCGACCGAGGUAAGGAGAACACCUUACCCCCUUCCUUGCCCCCGGACUUCCUUGGCUUUCCUGCUGGGCGACGCUUGCAGAUAAGUGAGUGUGGAAGUUAAGUCCUUGCGGCCCCGCUCCCCGGGACCCUGGGCCACUGUGCGCCGGUCUCGGGGCGGGGGUGGUGGGGGUGGUGGUGAGAAGUGCGGUGAGGGAUUUCCGAACCAGCUACCCGAGUCCUUGGCUCUCCCACAGCUUUUUCCUUUGGCCCUUUGCGGGUCCUGAUUUCGUUUCCCCCGGGGGCGUUUGCACUUGACUGCGCGCCUCUGCCCGCGCCCCAAGCGCUGCAGAUGUUGGGAUCAGCGUUCGCGUUUUCAAGACUUCCCUCCGCGCUCACUCUCUUGGCUUCGAGCUUUUGCGGGCUCCGGAGGCUCCGCGUUAAGUGUGUGCUCCCUUAACUUAUCUCCAGGGUUAAGUUCCUUACCUGCUGCACGCAGGGUCUGUGGAGAGGGGAAAGCGCCGACUCCAGCCCGUUUCCUCUCUGUAGCCCCUUUCUGGGGCAGACUCCGGAGAGAUUCGGGUCAUCAAAGGAGAAGCUAACGCUUUCGGGGAGCUUCUGGGCGCAGGCACCUGCUUGAGCUUGACUUUUUUGAUUCUGAAGGUCUGUGACACAGCUCUUGGUGCCUGGAGACGCUCACCCACCAUUGGUGUUUUGCCCUUGCUUUUUGUCCGAAAAGCUGAUGAAUGGUACAAGUUUAAAUGGGAAUGGGUUAUGGCGAGCAGAGCAGAAAGGAGAGAGGAGGUGGACAUUAUAAAAUCUGGAUUUUGUAAACUUUGAUCUGGAAACCCAAGAAUCCCUGUGCAAGUUUGAUAAUCUUUGACAACAGUCGGACGGGUGAAAAAAGAAAAAAAAAAUAGAUGAAUAGUUGGGCCGUUGGCAUUGGAAUGGUUAACUGCUUAAAGUAAAAUCAGAAGUAUCAUAGAUCUAGUUUUUUUGUUUGUUUUUCUAAAUCAUAGCAUGAGUUCAUAUUAACUGAUACAUUUUGUUUUUUGGGCUAAUUAG
rnacentral:lncRNA from 1 species